rnacentral:rRNA from 1 species
AUUGAACGCUGGCGGCAGGCCUAACACAUGCAAGUCGAGCGAGAGGGGGACGGGUGAGUAAGAUAUGGGGAAUGACCCAUAGAGGGGGAUAACAAUAGGAAACGGUGGCUAAUACCGCACACGGCCGGAGAACGCAUAUGGGAUUAGCUAGUAGGUAAUGUAAUGGCUCACCUAGGCGACGAUCCCUAGCUGGUCUGAGAGGAUGAACAGCCACACUGGGACUGAUACACGGCCCAGACUCCUACGGAGGCAGCAGUGGGGAAUAUUUCACAAUGGGCGCAAGCCUGAUGCAGCCAUGCCGCGUGUAUGAAGGAGUCCCUAGAGUUGUAAAGUCAUUUCAGUCGGGAGGCGUUACCCGCAGAAGAAGCACCGGCUAACUCCGUGCCAGCAGCCGCGGUAAUAC